AAUAUUGCACAAUGGGCGCAAGCCUGAUGCAGCCAUGCCGCGUGUAUGAAGAAGGUCCUUCGGGUUGUAAAGUACUUUCAGCAGUGAGGAAGUGGGUAUGUUAAUAGCAUAUUCAUUUGACGUUAGCUGCAGAAGAAGCACCGGCUAACUCCGUGCCAGCAGCCGCGGUAAUACGGAGGUGCGAGCGUUAAUCGGAAUUACUGGGCGUAAAGCGCAUGCAGGUGGUUUGUUAAGUCAGAUGUGAAAGCCCGGGGCUCAACCUCGGAAUUGCAUUUGAAACUGGCAAACUAGAGUACUGUAGAGGGGGUAGAAUUUCAGGUGUAGCGGUGAAAUGCGUAGAGAUCUGAAGGAAUACCGGUGGCGAAGGCGGCCCCCUGGACAGAUACUGACACUCAGAUGCGAAAGCGUGGGGAGCAAACAGGAUUAGAUACCCUGGUAG
rnacentral:rRNA from 1 species